rnacentral:rRNA from 1 species
CAGUGGGGAAUAUUGCACAAUGGGCGAAAGCCUGAUGCAGCCAUGCCGCGUGUAUGAAGAAGGCCUUCGGGUUGUAAAGUACUUUCAGUUGUGAGGAAGGGGGUGUCGUUAAUAGCGGCAUCUCUUGACGUUAGCAACAGAAGAAGCACCGGCUAACUCCGUGCCAGCAGCCGCGGUAAUACGGAGGGUGCGAGCGUUAAUCGGAAUUACUGGGCGUAAAGCGCAUGCAGGUGGUUCAUUAAGUCAGAUGUGAAAGCCCGGGGCUCAACCUCGGAACUGCAUUUGAAACUGGUGAACUAGAGUACUGUAGAGGGGGGUAGAAUUUCAGGUGUAGCGGUGAAAUGCGUAGAGAUCUGAAGGAAUACCAGUGGCGAAGGCGGCCCCCUGGACAGAUACUGACACUCAGAUGCGAAAGCGUGGGGAGCAAACAGGAUUAGAUACCCUGGUAGUCCACGCCGUAAACGAUGUCUACUUGGAGGUUGUGGCCUUGAGCCGUGGCUUUCGGAGCUAACGCGUUAAGUAGACCGCCUGGGGAGUACGGUCGCAAGAUUAAAACUCAAAUGAAUUGACGGGGGCCCGCACAAGCGGUGGAGCAUGUGGUUUAAUUCGAUGCAACGCGAAGAACCUUACCUACUCUUGACAUCCAGAGAAGCC